ensembl:lncRNA
GAGAAGAGAGACACCACAACACUACAUAAAGAGAGACAACACAACACGACAUAAAGAGAGACAACACAACACUACAUAAAGAGAGACAACACAACACAACAUAAGUGUUGAAGAAGGUAGAGACAUAAGAAGGUAGAGACAACAACAAGAAGGUGGAGACAACAACAAGAAGGUGGAGACAACAACAAGAAGGUAGAGACAACAACAAGAAGGUGGAGACAACAACAAGAAGGUAGAGACAACAACACAAAGGGCAAGAAGGUAGAGACAACAGCAAGAAGGUAGAGACAACAGCAAGAAGGUAGAGACAACAGCAAGAAGGUAGAGACAACAGCAAGAAGGUAGAGACAACAGCAAGAAGGUGGAGACAACAACACAUCACACAAAGCAGCCACAACUGUCAGUAAGAGUGUCCAUAAUUGAGUCUUUGAAUGAAGAGAUUGAGAUAAAACAGUCCAGUUUGAGUGUUUGUUGCAGCUCGUUCCAGUCGCUAGCUGAAGUGAACUGAAAAGAGGAGCGACCCAGGGAUGUGUGUGCUUUAGGGAUCUUUAACAGAAUGUGACUGACAGAACGGAUGUUGUAUGUGGAGGAUGAGGGCUGCAGUAGAU